rnacentral:rRNA from 1 species
UACGUAGGGGGCAAGCGUUGUCCGGAUUUAUUGGGCGUAAAGAGCAUGUAGGCGGCCAUACAGGUCAGCUGUGAAAACUCGAGGCUCAACCUCGAGACGUCGGUUGAAACCGUAUGGCUAGAGUCCGGAAGAGGAGAGUGGAAUUCCCGGUGUAGCGGUGAAAUGCGCAGAUAUCGGGAAGAACACCCGUGGCGAAGGCGGCUCUCUGGGACGGUACUGACGCUGAGACGCGAAAGCGUGGGGAGCGAACAGG